AUUCUUAUUUUCGUGCUAUGUAUUGUACCUGUUAGGGCGAUGUAGCGGCCCUCCGGGUCAGCAAGUGUCUCAGUGACGUGGAGUGGGCAGUUUUUGUGUACCAGUAUUGCCACCCGGCUCGCUUGUGGAGCGCUCUCGCCUCGUGGGUCUGUGGGAAAUGUCUGUCUUUCAGGGUUAUUGACGCUGACCUAGGAAUGUGGGUUUCUUGUAUAAGGGCAAUGUCGAUUUUGCGUGAUUUCAGGUCUCUCAGUAAUAGCCUACGUUUGUUCGGGGUAUUAAGUCCCUUAACGUUGAGUGAGGCGACCUUAAGGGCCAUUCGUGUGGGGUGUGGUGGUGUGUUCGUGUGAGCACCUACUUUGUUGUGUGGUCUGUGUCCCUCUAGCCGUGGGUGGAUCCCCCUCGCCCGGGAUGCGGGCAGCAGCAGUCACGUACCGUAG